GGUUAGCAUUCACCUGGGGUGAUGGUUGAGUUUUGUGCUGGCUAGUUUUUACCUUAUCUUAUGAGAAGCUAGAGGAGGGAACUGAUGGAGAAAAUGUCUAGGUAAGACAGCUGUAUCGAGCCUGUACAGCAUUUUCUUAAUUGGUGAUUGAUGUGGGAGGGCCAAGUCCAUUGUAACUAGUGCCACAUGUAGGCUGGUGGUUCUGGGCUCUAAAGGAAAUCUGGUUGAGCAAGCCAGAGGGAACAAGCUAAUAAGCAGCAAACUAAUAAGAAGUCAUGGCUGACUUCUGCACUAGCUCCUCCCUUGACUCAAGGCCCCGCUUUACUUGAAUUCCUUCCCUGACUGCCUUGGACGAUGGCCGUUACCUGGAUGUGUACUCAAAAUCAAACUUUUCCUCCCCGAGGUGCUUUUUGUUCAUGGUGAUUUAUCACUUAUCACAGUAAUAAAUACUAAGACAAAAUUGGUCUUUAGAACAUUAAAAGGAGCUGGCACGAAGCCUGGUGGGGAGCCAUACUUGAAAGACAGAGGCAGGUGGGUCUCUUCAAGUUCAGAGCUAGCCUGGUGUAUUCAACAACUGUGAAUUGCAGACCAGCCAAGGAUACACACUGAGUCUGUCUUAGUUAAGGCUUAUAUUGUUGUAAAGAGGCGUCAUGGCCAAGGACACUCUUGUAAAGACAACAUUUAAAUGGGUCUGGCUUACAGUUUUAGGGGUUCAGUCCAUUGUCAUUGUGGUAGGAAGCAUGGCAGUCAUGGUACUGCAGGAGCUGAGAGUUCAACAUCUUUAUCUGAAGGCCACUGGGAGAAGACUGGCGUCCUCAGGCAGCUAGGAGGAAGCUCUAAAAGCCCACCCCCUCAGUGACACUUGCUCUAACAAGGCCACACUUCCUAAUAGUGCCACUUGUUGUGCCAAGCAUAUUCAACUACCACAGAGACCCUGUCUCAAAAAGGGGGAUUGGCCUGGACCCCUGUAACUGCAACACUGGGGCAGUGGAGACAGGCAGAUUUCUGGGGUUUGCUGGCCAGUAUGCCUAGUCUACUUUACAAUCUCCAUGCCAAUGCAAACAAACAAACAGAGACCAAGAUGGGGAGGAGAGGACCUGAGGAAUGAGAGUUGAGGUUGUCUUCUGUCUUGCACAUAUGUGCACAUAAAUAUGCACACAGUUUUGCAUGUAUCCUCUUUGCUACCUUAAACCUGAGGUCAGAUUCCUGCCCAGCUCUGCAAGUAAACAUGUUAAUUAUUCAGGGAGUGUUGGUCUAAAACUGGUUCUACAAAGCUCAUUUAUCCUAAAGUGACCUAAUCUUUCUUCUUCCCCUCUGAAGUUUGAGGACACCAAGAUCAGGAUAACUGAGAUAUUUUCAAAAAUCCAGGAACAAUGAGACUUGUCAACAGCUCACCCAAUGAUGGAACUGAGGCUGCCCCUCAAGUGGCCAGAGCUAAACACCACCACCACUACCCCACGCCACAGUUAUUUUCCACAGCAAGACCACAUAGAACCAGACCUGAGAAAAUGAUCAACCAGAACACAGCUGACCACCUGGGCUUGCUAUGCAUACACCUUGUCCCUGCUUUUAUUCCUUUGCCAAUAGAACCUUCAAGCUCUUAGAAUGCUAGGCCCCCUGUUCCUCCUGUUCAGCCAUAUGGAAUAAAGUGUUUCAUGCUACAUCUUUGGUUGGACUCUUGGAGCUGUAAGUUACUGGUUGAUACAGGAGGGCUCAGGCCACUGUGGGCAGUGCCACUCCUGGCACAUGGUCCUAGGUUGUGUAAGAAAUGAGCAAGCCAUGGAGGGUAGCCAGUAGCCAGUGUUCCUGUGGUUCUGCUUCAGUUUCUGCCUCCAGGUUCCUGUCAGAGGUUUUGCUCUGACUUCCCUUCAUGCUGGAUUGUAGGCCAUAAUAUGGAAAAAACUCCUCUCCAAGUUGUUUUUGGCUAUGCUCUUUGUCAUAGCAACAGAAAACAAACUAGGAUGGAUUCCAAUUGGGUGGCAUUCUGGGAAAGGCAAAAUUACAGAGUCAGGAAAGGGGUCAGGAGUUGGGCAAAAGAAGGAAGAAAAGGCAGAGUGCAGAAGAUUUUUAGGGCAGAAAAACUACUGAUGACCUUGUCUGAUAGAGCGUCCAAAUCCAGAGAACGAUUUCUCCUCAAU
rnacentral:lncRNA from 1 species